rnacentral:rRNA from 1 species
AUGGUGGGGAACAGGCGGCUGGAGCUGCAGGAGAGGGACAGGAGGCGGCGGCAGCUGCAGGAGAGCGCGUGGCGGGAGGAGCAGGAGCGGGAGAGCAGGGAGGCGGCGGCGGCCGCCGCCAUGGCGGCGGCGGACAAGGAGAGGGCCAGGGAGAAGGGGAAGGAGAAGGAGAAUGGUGGAGAGGGCGGCAAGUUUGGCCAGCAAUUCGCCAGGGUGUUCCUACCGCAGCUCUACGGGGAGAGAUUGAAAAUUCCACCAUCAUUCAACCAGUACCUUCAGGAUCAGCCUACUGGAGUGGUUUCUCUAAAAGGUCAAAGUGGCAACACAUGGCUUGCAGAGCUGGCUUCAGACAAUGAAGGAUUGUUCUUUGUGAAGGGAUGGAAGGAAUUUGUCAGAGACCAUUCAAUUGAGAUGGGUCACUUCUUAACCUUCCGUUAUGAUGGACGCUCAAAAUUCUCAGUGGUUAUCUUUGAUGGAAUGUGCAUUGAGAAGCCUUCAGCUUUUCAUGCUAAGCCUUGCAAGAAUCUGGUUGUUAAAAUAGAAAGUGGUAAAGGGGACAUGGACAUCAAUGCAGCUGAUCCAUCACAAGCAUCGGCUGCCCCCUUGGAGGAGAGUAAUGGAACCACUAGGAAGAGGGUUACAGAAAUGGAUGCAGAUGGCUCUACAUCGAAGAACCGCUCUAGUAUCUUGGAAAACGGUAUGCCUGAAGCUUCGGCUGUUACAUGUAACGUGGCACCAACGAGCCUUAACGUGGACAUGAAUGCAGCUGACCCACCAGAGGCAGUGGUUGUUCCCUUAGAAGAGAGCAACCAAACCACUAGGAAGAGGAUUAGAGAAAUCGAUGCAAAUGACUCUGCAUUGCAGAAGUCCUUGAGGGUUAGAGAAAUCGAUGCAAAUGGCUCUGCAUUGCAGAAGUCCUUGAGGGUUAGAGAAAUCGAUGCAAAUGACUCUGCAUUGCAAAAGUCCUCGAGGGUUAGAGAAAUCGAUGCAAAUGACUCUGCAUUGCAGUCCUCGAGGGUUAGAGAAAUCGAUGCAAAUGAGACUGCAUUGCACAAGUCCUCGAGGGUUAGAGAAAUUGAUGCAAAUGACUCUGCAUUGCACAAGUCCUCGAGGGUUAGAGAAAUCGAUGCAAAUGACUCUGCAUUGCACAAGUCCUCGAGGGUUAGAGAAAUCGAUGCAAAUGACUCGGCAUUGCAGAAGUCCUCGAGGGUUAGAGAAAUCGAUGCAAAUGACUCUUCGUUGCAGAAGUCCUCAGGGCUUAGAGAAAUCGAUGCAAAUGACUCUGCAUUGCAGAAGUCCUCUAUUGCCUCAGACAAGGAUAAGAAAAGGUGUCCUGCAGCUUCAGUCGGUACUUACAAGUCAGCUUCAACAAGUCUUGACAGUACUGAAGAUUCUGAUUCCUCAAGCAGCAUGUUAGAACAAAGUAUCUCUUGCAUCAAGUCUGAAUUGACAUCACCCAUUCGGCUCGGAGUGAGUAAGGAUGUUGCUAGACGUGGUCAAAAUAGCGCGACGGGUAAGAGACAACUAAGAGUACUAUCACAAAGGCGACUGGUAACUGAAAUACAGAAGGACAAUGCUCUGCUAAGGGCAAAACAAUUUAAAUCCAAGAAUCCUUUCGGUCUUCAAAUAAUGAAGGAGUCUUAUGUAUAUGUGGGAUUUUUCUUGAAUCUACCCUGUGAAUUUGUAAGGGAGUGUCUUCCCCGUGCCCACAGGAAGUUAAAGCUCUGGAAUCCGCAAGGAAAGUCUUGGGAUGUUAACUAUGUCUACUACAGCGAACGCUGUGUUGGCGGUUUGAGUGGUGGCUGGGGCAAGUUUUCUCUAGACAAUAAUCUGGAGAAGUUCGACGUGUGCGUCUUCGAGCUCUUCUCGAAGGACAACAUAAAAGUACACAUCUACAGAGUCGUCCCAGAAAUAACCCCAUUCCUCCCUGGUCCUGGCAAGAAAUAA